UGGCGGACGGGUGAGUAAUGUCUGGGAAACUGCCCGAUGGAGGGGGAUAACUACUGGAAACGGUAGCUAAUACCGCAUAACGUCGCAAGACCAAAGAGGGGGGCCUUCGGGCCUCUUGCCAUCGGAUGUGCCCAGAUGGGAUUAGCUAGUAGGUGGGGUAACGGCUCACCUAGGCGACGAUCCCUAGCUGGUCUGAGAGGAUGACCAGCCACACUGGAACUGAGACACGGUCCAA
rnacentral:rRNA from 1 species